GAUGAACGCUGGCGGCGUGCUUAACACAUGCAAGUCGAACGAUGAAGCCCAGCUUGCUGGGUGGAUUAGUGGCGAACGGGUGAGUAACACGUGAGUAACCUGCCCUUAACUCUGGGAUAAGCCUGGGACACUGGGUCUAAUACCGGAUAGGAGCGUCCCCCGCCUGGUGGGUGUUGGAAAGAUUUAUCGGUUUUGGAUGGACUCGCGGCCUAUCAGCUUGUUAGUGAGGUAAUGGCUCACCAAGGCGACGACGGGUCGCCGGCCUGAGAGGGUGACCGGCCACACUGGGACUGAGACGCGGCCCAGACUCCUACGGGAGGCAGCAGUGGGGAAUAUUGCACAAUGGGCGCAAGCCUGAUGCAGCGACGCCGCGUGAGGGAUGACGGCCUUCGGGUUGUAAACCUCUUUCAGUAGGGAAGAAGCGAAAGUGACGGUACCUGCAGAAGAAGCACCGGCUAACUACGUG
rnacentral:rRNA from 1 species